rnacentral:rRNA from 1 species
UCUGUCCCGUGAUCCGGGACGAGGACCGUGUCUGGUGGGUAGUUUGACUGGGGCGGUCUCCUCCUAAAGAGUAACGGAGGAGUACGAAGGUGCGCUCAGCGUGGUCGGAAAUCACGCGUAGAGUAUAAAGGCAAAAGCGCGCUUAACUGCGAGACCCACAAGUCGAGCAGGUACGAAAGUAGGUCUUAGUGAUCCGGUGGUUCUGUAUGGAAGGGCCAUCGCUCAACGGAUAAAAGGUACUCUGGGGAUAACAGGCUGAUACCGCCCAAGAGUUCAUAUCGACGGCGGUGUUUGGCACCUCGAUGUCGGCUCAUCUCAUCCUGGGGCUGAAGCAGGUCCCAAGGGUAUGGCUGUUCGCCAUUUAAAGAGGUACGCGAGCUGGGUUUAGAACGUCGUGAGACAGUUCGGUCCCUAUCUACCGUGGGCGCUGGAAAUUUGAGAGGAUCUGCUCCUAGUACGAGAGGACCAGAGUGGACGAACCUCUGGUGUACCGGUUGUGACGCCAGUCGCAUCGCCGGGUAGCUAUGUUCGGAAGGGAUAACCGCUGAAAGCAUCUAAGCGGGAAGCCUACCUCAAGAUAAGAUUUCCCUAGGACUUUAUGUCCUCUAAAGAGCCGUUCGAGACUAGGACGUUGAUAGGUUGGAUGUGGAAGCAUAGUGAUAUGUGAAGCUGACCAAUACUAAUUGCUCGUGAGGCUUGACUAU